rnacentral:rRNA from 1 species
AGAGUUUGAUCAUGGCUCAGAACGAACGCUGGCGGCAUGCCUAACACAUGCAAGUCGAACGAAGGCUUCGGCCUUAGUGGCGCACGGGUGCGUAACGCGUGGGAAUCUGCCCUUGGGUUCGGAAUAACAGUGAGAAAUUACUGCUAAUACCGGAUGAUGACUUCGGUCCAAAGAUUUAUCGCCCAAGGAUGAGCCCGCGUAAGAUUAGCUAGUUGGUGAGGUAAAGGCUCACCAAGGCGACGAUCUUUAGCUGGUCUGAGAGGAUGAUCAGCCACACUGGGACUGAGACACGGCCCAGACUCCUACGGGAGGCAGCAGUGGGGAAUAUUGCACAAUGGGCGCAAGCCUGAUGCAGCGACGCCGCGUGAGGGAUGACGGCCUUCGGGUUGUAAACCUCUUUCAAUAGGGACGAAGCGCAAGUGACGGUACCUGGAGAAGAAGCACCGGCCAACUACGUGCCAGCAGCCGCGGUAAUACGUAGGGUGCGAGCGUUGUCCGGAAUUACUGGGCGUAAAGAGCUCGUAGGUGGUUUGUCGCGUUGUUCGUGAAAACUCACAGCUUAACUGUGGGCGUGCGGGCGAUACGGGCAGACUAGAGUACUGCAGGGGAGACUGGAAUUCCUGGUGUAGCGGUGGAAUGCGCAGAUAUCAGGAGGAACACCGGUGGCGAAGGCGGGUCUCUGGGCAGUAACUGACGCUGAGGAGCGAAAGCGUGGGGAGCGAACAGGAUUAGAUACCCUGGUAGUCCAA